GACGAACGCUGGCGGCGUGCCUAAUACAUGCAAGUUGAGCGCUGAAGGUUGGUACUUGUACCAACUGGAUGAGCAGCGAACGGGUGAGUAACGCGUGGGGAAUCUGCCUUUGAGCGGGGGACAGCAUUUGGAAACGAAUGCUAAUACCGCAUAAAAACUUUAAACACAAGUUUUAAGUUUGAAAGAUGCAAUUGCAUCACUCAAAGAUGAUCCCGCGUUGUAUUAGCUAGUUGGUGAGGUAAAGGCUCACCAAGGCGAUGAUACAUAGCCGACCUGAGAGGGUGAUCGGCCACAUUGGGACUGAGACACGGCCCAAACUCCUACGGGAGGCAGCAGUAGGGAAUCUUCGGCAAUGGACGAAAGUCUGACCGAGCAACGCCGCGUGAGUGAAGAAGGUUUUCGGAUCGUAAAACUCUGUUGGUAGAGAAGAACGUUGGUGAGAGUGGAAAGCUCACCAAGUGACGGUAACUACCCAGAAAGGGACGGCUAACUACGUG
rnacentral:rRNA from 1 species